rnacentral:rRNA from 1 species
GAUGAACGCUAGCUACAGGCUUAACACAUGCAAGUCGAGGGACCGGCGCACGGGUGACUAACACGUAUCCAACCUGCCCUUUACUCGGGGAUAGCCUGUCGAAAGACAGAUUAAUACCCGACAUAAUGAUUGGGGAUGCGUUCCAUUAGGUUGUCGGUGAGGUAACGGCUCACCAAGCCUUCGAUGGAUAGUGGUUCUGAGAGGAAGGUCCACCAGAAUGGAGAUUAGACCCGGUCCAAACUCCUACGGGAGGAUACGGUGAUGAAUAUUGGUCGAUAGGCGCUAGCCUGAACCAGCCAAGUAGCGUGAAAGAUGAAGGCUUAUGGGUCGUAUACUACUUUUAUAUAAGAAUAUGUAUUAUAUGAAUAAGGAUCGGCUAACUCCGUGCCAGCCGCCGCGGUAAUAC